GGAAGACAGGGCCGCCACUGAUGGAAGUGGAGAGAGUGGUGUCAGCCCUGUUGACAAAGAUCUUCAGCCUCAGAAGGAGGAAGAGGAGGGGGAGAAGUCUGAUGCUGAAGAGCAAGUGCCAGAGGCCACAGAGAGAAAGGAGCAUGACUCCUGUGGGCAGACUGGAGUGGACAAUGUGCAGAGUGCACAGGCCGUGGAACUAGCUGGGGCUGCACCGGAAAAGGAGCAGGGGAAAGAGGAACAUGGUAGUGGAGCUGCAGAUGCAAACCAAGC
rnacentral:lncRNA from 1 species